GACUACUAAAUAACUUCUUUAUUCUUGAACGUCUCGGCGUUUAUUUUUUGACUUGUUAAUUUAAUAACUAUUUUUAGGAUUGUCUAAGUUACUCUAAAUAU
rnacentral:misc_RNA from 1 species